AUGGAGAGCCCCCGCGACGCCCACCUCUCGCCGUCGCCGGAGGCCGCGCGGAUGCUGCAGGAGAUGCUGCUCCGGGACCUCCGGGAGGCGGAUGGGCCCGAUCUGCCGGAGGAGCAGUUGCGCUCCAACGACCAGCUGCAGCAAGACGAGAUACUGGCACUUGAGGCAAUUUAUGGAGACAAUUUGAAUAUUUUUGGUGAAAAGUCUGUACCACGCUCCUUCCAGAUCCAUGUGCACUGUGAAAUUCCAGAUGGUAUCAGUGUGUCCACAGAACUCCAGAGUGUUGAUGAUUAUCCAGACAACCAGUUCACAUUCAGUGUCAAGCACUUGGCUCCAAUAUCACUGACAUGCCUUAUGCCUCCAUCGUACCCGAGCCAUCAUCCUCCAUACUUCUCUCUCGGUGUACAGUGGUUGGAUAGUGUGAAGGUCUCGACCCUUUGUCACAUGCUUGACUCGAUUUGGGCACAGCAGUCUGGACAGGAAGUUGUUUUUGAGUGGGUGCAGUGGCUGCAGAGCUCUACGCUCUCUCAUCUUGGUUUUGAUGGCGGGAUAAUCAUACGCAAGUCUGAUUGUCCUGUGGCUCCUGUGGAUGCUCGGGUUGUUGGAGAGAUUCUGUCUGUAGAGGAGGUUGUUCAACAGUUGAUCAGCUAUGAUGAAGAGCAAUGCCUUGAAACAUUUCGUCGUGGCCUCCAUGUCUGCACAAUUUGUUUCAGUGAGCACCCAGGCAUAGACUUCGUAGAACUUCCAUGCCGUCAUUACUACUGCUGGAGGUGCAUGGAGACAUACUCAAAGUUGCAUGUCAAGGAAGGAUCAGUCCUGAAAUUGGUGUGCCCUGAUGACAAAUGUGGAUGUUCUAUUCCUCCUAAACUAUUGAAGAAGUUGCUUGGAGAUGCAGGUUUUGAACGGUGGGAAAGAUUGGUAUUUCAGAAGACUCUAGACUCAAGGGCUGAUGUAGCUUACUGUCCAAGAUGUGAAACAGCUUGCCUGGCAGAUGAGGACAGCGCCCAGUGCUCCAAUUGCCUCUUCACCUUCUGCGUCCGCUGCAGAAAUCGUCGCCAUGUAGGGGAGAGAUGCAUGACUCCAGAAGAAAAACUUAUUUCUGUACAGGAGCGUGAGAAGGCACGCAACUUGAGCAAAGGCAAUGCUGGACGUAAAGUCUCUGCGAGUGAUAUAUUUAGCAUCAAGGAAAUACUCCGUUCUUCUGUUAUGUGUCCGCAUUGUGGCUUUGCCAUCUCACGCGUGUCAGGCUGUGACCAGAUGCUUUGCAGAAACUGUGAGAAGUCGUUCUGUUAUGCCUGUGGCAAGCCAUCAAGUCAAGGUCAUACAAGUGAACAAUGCAAAAUCGAUAGGGAGAAGCUGAGAGUGAAGGUGGAAGUGAAUGAUGUCGUCAGAAACAUGCAGAAAGAGCUGAAACUGGCACUGUCCAGAGCGCAUCCGUGCCCGGGUUGCCGCCAGCCGAAUUUCAAGGUUGGGAACAACAACCACAUCUUCUGCGAGACAUGCCGGGUUCAUUGCUGCGCUCUGUGCCACACGGUGGUGCGAAAGAGCAAGGAGCACUAUGGCCCCCGAGGGUGCAAGCAGCACACUGUCGACCCCGACUUUGUCUAG
rnacentral:rRNA from 1 species